UGAGGAAUAUUGCACAAUGGGCGAAAGCCUGAUGCAGCGACGCCGCGUGGGUGAAGAAGGUUUUCGGAUCGUAAAACCCUUUUCUGUGUGACGAGAGAGGACGGUAGCACAGGAAUAAGUCUCGGCUAACUACGUGCCAGCAGCCGCGGUAAAACGUAGGAGACAAACGUUAUCCGGAGUUACUGGGCGUAAAGGGCGUGCAGGCGGCAGCCUAAGUCUGGCGUGAAAUAUCCCGGCUUAACCGGGAGAGGUCGUCGGAUACUGGGCAGCUAGAGGGCGGUAGAGGCGUGUGGAAUUCCGGGUGUAGUGGUGAAAUGCGUAGAGAUCCGGAGGAACACCAGUGGCGAAGGCGACACGGCUGGGCCGCACCUGACGCUAAGACGCGACAGCAUGGGGGACNCG
rnacentral:rRNA from 1 species